UUGUGAACUUCCCAAGCUUCACGCACGAAUGGUCAAAGAUAAUCUCUCCCGUUGUUGUUGAUAGCACGUGGGAACGAGUCACCAAAAGGACUAGAGAUGUCUACGUUCCCGUUCCGCGGGGACCCGCCCCCAAACGGGAAGGGGAUUCCCUGUUUAGAC